rnacentral:lncRNA from 1 species
GGAGAAUUGUUUUAGAAAGUACAAGUUUUUCUUUUGCCUUUUUUGCCUUUUUGUGGUUGUUUUUAACUAGAGCUAGUGUUGCAUACUUCUUAGGCUGUAGUUGCAAGCUGUGAGUUUUCUCACUGGAACAGUAUCCUCAAUCUUUUUGUGGUGUAUCCUCCAUGCUGAACUCGAGGCCAGUGGAAGGACAUACGGACUAAACACCAGGCUGGGUUAAAACACUAAUGCAGAAGAUCAAUGGAUUCUUUACUGAGUGAAAGCCUUUAACAUCUAAUUGUGAUGUACCUAGACUUUGGUCUCUCUGGGGUGUAAUAGAAAGAAUUAAGACAGAAUAAAAGAGCUUAUGUGGGGUAGUUGGCAAAAAGGGGGAAAGCCAUUAGGGUACAAAAGACACUGGAAGACUACUGCAGUCAGAUUUGCAGCUCCUGGAUAAUUGCUUGAUUCUCUUCGGAAACUGUUAAUCUUUUAUUUGUUGCCAGUACCAAUAAAUCAUUGCUUUUGUUCAGAUGGU